rnacentral:rRNA from 1 species
UACACUCCUGCGGGAGGCAGCAGUGGGGAAUAUUGGACAAUGGGCGCAAGCCUGAUCCAGCCAUGCCGCGUGAGUGAUGAAGGCCCUAGGGUUGUAAAGCUCUUUCACCGGUGAAGAUAAUGACGGUAACCGGAGAAGAAGCCCCGGCUAACUUCGUGCCAGCAGCCGCGGUAAUACGAAGGGGGCUAGCGUUGUUCGGAUUUACUGGGCGUAAAGCGCACGUAGGCGGACUAUUAAGUCAGGGGUGAAAUCCCGGGGCUCAACCCCGGAACUGCCUUUGAUACUGGUAGUCUUGAGUUCGAGAGAGGUGAGUGGAAUUCCGAGUGCAGAGGUGAAAUUCGUAGAUAUUCGGAGGAACACCAGUGGCGAAGGCGGCUCACUGGCUCGAUACUGACGCUGAGGUGCGAAAGCGUGGGGAGCAAACAGGAUUAGAUACCCUUGUAGUCCCAUG